GUGAAUCAUCGAAUUUUUGAACGCAAAUUGCACUCCCUGGUAUUCCGGGGAGUAUGCCUGUUUGAGGGUCGUUAGAAAAAAAAUCGAAGCGUCGCUCUUUUUUUUAAGGGUGAUUGGAUUGGAAAUGAGGCGUCUUUCAAAAGGUAAAUUAUGUCAAAGUGGGUUAAAAUUUAUUCAUUCGGUAAGGAUAAAGGGGUUUUAAAAUUAAAUUUGAUUAAGGAAGG
rnacentral:misc_RNA from 1 species